AAACCCUGAUGCAGCCAUGCCGCGUGUGUGAGAAGGCUUCGGGUUGUAAAGCACUUUCAGUGGGGAGAAACACUGACGUUACCCACAGAAGAGCACCGGCUAACUCCGUGCCAGCAGCCGCGGUAAUACGGAGGGUGCAAGCGUUAAUCGGAAUACUGGGCGUAAAGGGCAUGUAGGCGGAAAGGUAAGUAGGAUGUGAAAUACGGGCUCAAC
rnacentral:rRNA from 1 species